rnacentral:rRNA from 1 species
UACGAAGGGGGCUAGCGUUGCUCGGAAUCACUGGGCGUAAAGGGUGCGUAGGCGGGUCUUUAAGUCAGGGGUGAAAUCCUGGAGCUCAACUCCAGAACUGCCUUUGAUACUGAAGAUCUUGAGUUCGGGAGAGGUGAGUGGAACUGCGAGUGUAGAGGUGAAAUUCGUAGAUAUUCGCAAGAACACCAGUGGCGAAGGCGGCUUACUGGUCCGGUUCUGACGCUGAGGCGCGAAAAGCGUGGGGAGCAAACAGG